rnacentral:tRNA from 1 species
AUCACUUUAGUAUAAUAAAUACAAAUGACUUCCACUCAUUUAAUCUUAUGAAUAAGAAGUGAUA